rnacentral:misc_RNA from 1 species
GAUGAAGAACGCAGCGAAAUGCGAUAAGUAAUGUGAAUUGCAGAAUUCAGUGAAUCAUCGAAUCUUUGAACGCACAUUGCGCCCGCCAGUAUUCUGGCGGGCAUGCCUGUUCGAGCGUCAUUACAACCCUCAGGCCCCCGGGCCUGGCGUUGGGGAUCGGCGGAAGCCCCCUGCGGGCACAACACCGUCCCCCAAAUACAGUGGCGGUCCCGCCGCAGCUUCCAUUGCGUAGUAGCUAACACCUCGCAACUGGAGAGCGGCGCGGCCACGCCGUAAAACACCCAACUUCUGAAUGUUGACCUCGAAUCAGGUAGGAAUACCCGCUGAACUUAAGCAUAUCAAUAAGCGGAGGA